rnacentral:tRNA from 1 species
GCGCAGGUGGUGAAAUGGCAGACACGAUAGUUUGAGGGGCUAUUGGCCGCAAGGCUGUGUGGGUUCAACUCCCACCCUGCGCACCA